UACGAAGGGGGCUAGCGUUGCUCGGAAUCACUGGGCGUAAAGCGCACGUAGGCGGAUUGUUAAGUCAGGGGUGAAAUCCUGGAGCUCAACUCCAGAACUGCCUUUGAUACUGGCGAUCUCGAGUCCGGGAGAGGUGAGUGGAAAUGCGAGUGUAGAGGUGAAAUUCGUAGAUAUUCGCAAGAACACCAGUGGCGAAGGCGGCUCACUGGCCCGGUACUGACGCUGAGGUGCGAAAGCGUGGGGAGCAAACAGG
rnacentral:rRNA from 1 species